UGGGGUUGUAGGACUGGACAUUUGAGUUACCAAGAAACGAAGUAGUUGAAUGAUUUGGGAAGAUCAGCCAGAGAAGGUGAUAGCCCUGUAAGCGAAACUUCGUUUCCUCAGCCCAGUAUCCUGAGUACGGCGGAACACGUGAAACUCCGUCGGAAUCCGGGAGGACCAUCUCCCAAGGCUAAAUACUCCCUAGUGACCGAUAGUGAACCAGUACCGUGAGGGAAAGGUGAAAAGCACCCCGGGAGGGGAGUGAAAUAGUUCCUGAAACCAUGUGCCUACAAGUAGUCAGAGCCCGUUAAUGGGUGAUGGCGUGCCUUUUGUAGAAUGAACCGGCGAGUUACGUUAGCGUGCGAGGUUAAGGCGCAAAGGCCGGAGCCGUAGCGAAAGCGAGUCUGAAUAGGGCGAAUGAGUACGUUGACGUAGACCCGAAACCAGGUGACCUACCCAUGUCCAGGUUGAAGGUGCGGUAAGACGCACUGGAGGACCGAACCCGUGUAUGUUGAAAAAUGCUGGGAUGAGGUGUGGGUAGAGGUGAAAUUCCAAACGAACUUGGAGAUAGCUGGUUCUCUCCGAAAUAGCUUUAGGGCUAGCCUCGGAGUUAAGGAUCGUGGAGGUAGAGCACUGUUUGGACUAGGGGCCCGUCUUGGGUUACUGAAUUCAGAUAAACUCCGAAUGCCACAGAUCUAUAUCCGGGAGUCAGACUGCGAGUGAUAAGAUCCGUAGUCGAAAGGGAAACAGCCCAGACCACCGAUUAAGGUCCCUAAAUAUGUGUUAAGUGGAAAAGGAUGUGGAAUUGCACAGACAACUAGGAUGUUGGCUUAGAAGCAGCCACCAUUUAAAGAGUGCGUAAUAGCUCACUAGUCGAGUGAUCCUGCGCCGAAAAUGUAACGGGGCUAAACACAUUACCGAAAUCGUGGAUGCAACUAUGUUGCAUGGUAGGAGAGCGUUCUAAGGGCGAUGAAGCUAGACCGUAAGGACUGGUGGAGCGCUUAGAAGUGAGAAUGCCGGUAUGAGUAGCGAAAGAUCAGUGAGAAUCUGGUCCACCGUAUGACUAAGGUUUCCUGGGGAAGGCUCGUCCUCCCAGGGUUAGUCGGGACCUAAGCCGAGGCCGAGAGGCGUAGGCGAUGGAUAACAGGUUGAGAUUCCUGUACUGGUUUGAUUUGUUUGAACGAUGGAGGGACGCAGGAGGCUAGAGAUGCGUGCUGUUGGAUAUGCACGUCCAAGCAA
rnacentral:rRNA from 1 species